rnacentral:rRNA from 1 species
UGCCUUAAGCAUGCAAGUCGACCGACAGCUCGCAAGAGCGAUGAGGGGCGGACGGGUGAGUAACACGUGGGAAUCUACCCUAAAGUGGAGGAUAACUAGCCGAAAGGUUAGCUAAUACUGCAUGUGAUCGCGAGAUCAAAGCUCUUAACUGGGCGCUUUAGGAUGAGCCUGCGGCCUAUCAGCUAGUUGGUGGGGUAAAGGCCUACCAAGGCAACGACGGGUAGCUGGUCUGAGAGGAUGGUCAGCCACAAUGGCACUGAGACACGGGCCAUACACCUACGGGUGGCAGCAACUGGGAAUUUUCGGCAAUGGGCGAAAGCCUGACCGAGCGACGCCGCGUGAAGGAUGAAGGCCUUCGGGUUGUAAACUUC